UAGGGAAUCUUCCACAAUGGGCGAAAGCCUGAUGGAGCAACGCCGCGUGUGUGAAGAAGGUUUUCGGAUCGUAAAGCUCUGUUGUUGGUGAAGAAGGAUAGAGGUAGUAACUGGCCCCUAUUUGACGGUAAUCAACCAGAAAGUCACGGCUAACUACGUGCCAGCAGCCGCGGUAAUACGUAGGUGGCAAGCGUUGUCCGGAUUUAUUGGGCGUAAAGCGAGCGCAGGCGGAAAGAUAAGUCUGAUGUGAAAGCCCCCGGCUUAACCGAGGAAUUGCAUCGGAACCUGUGUUUCUUGAGUGCAGAAGAGGAGAGUGGAACUCCAUGUGUAGCGGUGGAAUGCGUAGAUAUAUGGAAGAACACCAGUGGCGAAGGCGGCUCUCUGGUCUGUAACUGACGCUGAGGCUCGAAAGCAUGGGUAGCAAACAGG
rnacentral:rRNA from 1 species